UACGUAGGGCGCAAGCGUUAUCCGGAAUUAUUGGGCGUAAAGAGCUCGUAGGCGGGAUGGCAAGUCGGUCGUGAAAUCCCUCGGCUCAACCGAGGAACGUCGAUCGAUACUGCUGUUCUUGAGGAUUGCAGAGGAGACUGGAAUUCCCGGUGUAGCGGUGAAAUGUGUAGAGAUCGGGAGGAACACCGGUGGCGAAGGCGGGUCUCUGGGCAAUUCCUGACGCUGAGGCGCGAAAGCGUGGGGAGCAAACGGG
rnacentral:rRNA from 1 species